GUGAAAGUUGUCCUCAAAAUUUACUCAGAUUAAAAAAAAGAAAACAGAAUACGUGUUUUUAUAAACAUAGGAGUUAAUCGGAUUUACUUUAUUUAUUUUAUAAUGAGGGUCUGAUGUAUUCUGAAGGGGCUACAAAGAGAAAUAGCAUUUACUGAAAUGGGAGCGGGUGACAUAAAGUUAUGUCCUGUCUGAGAUUUGGUCUGUGGAAGACCAAAUGGAGGCAGCACACAUCCUUUGUGGAUUGAUGACCUUGGCAAACUGAUUAAAUUCUUUGACUGGUUGGGGUACACCAAGAUACCCCUGAAGUCCAUUCCAAACUUGAGGAAAUAUCACCACUUCAGAACUUCAGCUGACAACCCAGUGAGUGAAUUCAUGAGAGAGCAUGCCAAGGACAGUGAGAUUGAUGUUAAAAUUAACAACCCCACAACAAUGGCUUUUCCAUGGAGAGUACCCCGAACGCAUCCAACUAAAAGGACUUGAUGCAAAAAGGCUCUGAUCCCUUAAAUAAGUGAAAACAUUUUUUUCAGUAUACUGAUAUGUGAUCUUUAUAAACUAAAUCUAA